GGACCGAAACAAUUUCGGGCGACGGAUAGAGAGAUAUGGCCGGGGGAUGAUCGCACGGUCGUGCGAGAUGACGGGACGAUCAUGCCGAGGGCGAAUAAACCCGAACAAAAAAUAUUAUGGACAACCGUAAUAAUGUCUGGUCGAUAUUUCGACACCGUUGUUCGUUUGACGCUCCCCGCGACAAUGCCAAAAGGCGCGCGCCCGCGCGGCGACAGUAAUUUGUCCCCGGCGAAACGGUAUGAAAUCCACCGUGCACGUGUUGCAAAAUAUUAUUAUCGUUUUUCACGGGCGGGGGGCGACGCAAAGUAGCGUAAUAUUAAAACGCGAAAAAAAAUAAAAUAAAAAAAAAACGCGACCGCGCCGCACGAAAAAUCCAUACGGCGUAAUAUUUGCGGGUUCAAUUACGUCCGUUUAAUCCCAUCAGCGUACACCCCGCGCAGACGACGUCCGACGGCGGCAUCGCGUUGUUGUUGACCGUUUCCGUAUAAUAUCACGUCGCGGUGACGCGUUUUUUCGCGCGCGACCGACCGAAUAACCACGUCCGCGUUCGAAAACAAAAAAAACAUUUUAACCCUCGUCGUAUUGUCUCCGGACUCGAAACGCCGCGGUAUUGUUUUCGUCGAGAACAUAAAAAAAAAAAAAAAUUAAAAAUAACGCCACUAUAAUAAUACAAUAAUCCCCGACGGGCGCACCUACGCACGCCGUUCGCGCGUUAUCGUACGUUUCGCGCGGAACGCCACUGCGCGAUUAUACUAAUAUAACACGUGCGACAACAACAACAACAACAACAACAACAACAGCAACAACAAUUGUUGUUAUUCGGUUCGUUUGUUUCGCCGCGGUUCUCUCUCACUCUCUCUCUCUCUCUAUGUUCGAUAAACGUCCGUCCUACUCGUCUUGCGCGCGCCGAUUCCGCGGACAGUAAAAAUAAUGUUGUGGUUCCGGUCGUUUUCCGUUAAUCGUUUAAUCUCGCCGCGUCCCGUAACCGCAACACUACGCAGUCCGGUAAUCCCGUUUAGAUUUCUCGCGGUUUCGCGUUCCGUUCGGUUUCGCGCGCGUUUUGCGCGUUGUUUUUGUUGUUUUUUUUUUUUGUUUUUUUUUUUCUCUCCACAUCCCCCGUGAUCCGCGGGAGAUGUCCGCGCGCGGACCCUUCUCGUUGUUUUCGAUUCAAUACCGACCCCGACGUUAUUGUACAUUUUACGGCGCGACGCGGUUUUCGUCGUGCGGUAAAAUGCAAUAUUAAUAAUAAUAUCGUAAUGCAAUAUUACGCGCGUUAAAUUCCAGUAUUUUUUUUUUUUUUUCUUCGAGCGCGCGCCUCGUCUUUCGACAUUUUCAAAAUUACCGCGCGAAUCGGGAACACACAACACAAUUGUAGGCUAAUUGCGUAUAAAAUGAUUAUUGUCAGUUAUCACGGUGAAUUUAGGGCGGCAAACGUAACAAAAAAACGCACGAAAAAAACCCCCGGCCGCGGUGCUCGACUAUCGUCGACAUAAUAUGAAACGCGAGAAAAAAAAAAUUCGACUGUCCGCCGCGGUUUUAUAAAACACAGUACCUAUGACCGUUCAAUAAAUCCAAAACACCGCGAUAUCGAACCCGGCGCGGUUAUUUGAAAUACAGUGUUAAAUUUUGGCCGGACGAACUCUAAUGGAAUUUUUCCAUUCGUGUCCCGCUCGCCAAAAAAAAAACACAUCGUAUUAUCAUUCUAUCUCUUAGUUGAGGUGCCGCCGGUCGUCCAAUACGGAAUUCGUGCCGUUUUUUUAACCAAGUUUAAAAACAAUAUACAUACGUUUACGAUAUGCCGUUGUGAAAUUCGGAACAAAAAUUAUUCGUUGUUUUUAGUAGUCCCGUGUUUUGAGGUUUUUUUUUUUUUAAAUCUGGCGACCCUAUAGUGUUAGUGUGAUAUGUUGUUUUUUUUUUCAUAUAUAUGCAUAUACGUUUCUGUAGAAAAUAUUCGCCGCGGUGUCGUAAUACACAUACGGGCCGUACGAUUUGAAAACUAUACAUACACACGAACGUAUACCGAUUAUGUUAUUUUAUUGGCCUAUUACGUCAAAAAUAUAAUAAUACGUUUGCGAGUCCGCGACAAUGUGUUUCGAAACAACGGUAUCGGCACUUUUAUUUGAAACAAAUCGAUUUGUAAACGUCGAAAUUGCACGUUCUCAAAUCGUAUUUUCUAUAUAGGUAUACAGUACGACGUAUAUCGGGGUCCCGGGUGUUAGCAGUUAGCCUGUAGGUAUAUCACAGUUCUACAUUUCCACCGUAAAUAUACCGAGUCGACGAUUUUCGCUGCUAUAUAGAAUAUCACGCGCACACUAUGAUGAUAAUAUAAUGUUAGUCGGUCGGCGAAUGCGAAAAACGGCGACGACGGCUGUUCGUUUUCAUCCGGAAAGGGGGAAGAAAAAUAAAGAAAACUCGUAAAAUUCGCCAACUAUUAUUACCGUUACCUGCGGGUAUGAAAAGGUUCUGUAAUCGUGUCUUUUUGAGAAAAACGUCCCCUUUUAAUCGAUCGUUACGAUUUUUUUUUUUUAUAUAUACAAAGAAAAAUUUUCUUUUAUAAAACACAAAUGUUUUUCAAGUGAACGUUAAAAGUUAUUUGAACGAGAAAAAGUUCUAUCUAAUGAUACUAUUCAUUUAUUUUGAAAAUGAAAAGGUUCUAUAUUGACCUUUGUGUGCUGCGAUGAAAUUACUGAUAAAAUAAUACAAACAAAGCGCCACAAAAAGGUUCUACAUAAAAAACAGUAAUUUUAAACAUUUUCCAUUUCUUUACAGUGCGCCGCUUACUUUCAAAAGAUUAUAAGAAAACCUUUUCAAAGUACGAAAUUAUUUUCUUUUAUUUACUUUUAUUAUCUUUAUUGACAUAAAACUAUCGGUUUGAUCUGUUUGUCAUAGAAAAUAUAUAUAUUUAAGUUAAAUAGCAAAACAUAAACGAAACUGUGCCCCUAUGAGAUUUUAAAUUCAAUAAUAGCAUUCGGUAUCAAAAUGUAAAUUCUAAAGUUUUAAACUGCUCUUCUUGGUCGAUUUAAAAAAAAUGACCCAGAACCUUUUCAUUCUCAGGUGAGGCAAUUUCUACGCGUGAGUUUUAUGACGGACCAAAAUGUCGAUCGAUUUUUAGACACUAUAUUACGAAAACCGUCUAUUAGGAUUGCUAUUUUAAUCCACAAAAAAUAAAAACAAAAAUCAUUAGAUAAUUUCACAUACAAUUUUUUUUGAAAAAUAAGUUUAAACAAACACUAAAUUAUAUCUGCUGCAUUAAAUUUUGAUGAUACAAAAUAUUGUUUUCUCUUUGCGGCAACUAAUUUUUAAUAAAAAAAAAAAUUUUAAGUUUCACAAAAAUACUUUAAAAUGUAAAAUUUGUCAAAAACAUAAAUAAUAAUAAUUUCGAAAACUCAGUACAUAUUGUCUUAAACACAAUAGUUCGAUCAUAAUCAAACAUCUACAUCAAAACUACAAUCUUGUUAAACAGCGAUUUUAUCGUAUUUAUUACAUAUUAUAACGUCAUAGUAUCAUACUGCAGAUAAUAUCACACUUUUUUCAGUCAAUACGCCCGCUCGGUAAUCAAAUUAUUAAUACACUUGAAAAAAUCGCCACAGUAUUUUUAAUACAGACGCGUUAAAAACAUUGAACGAGUGCACUCACGCAAACAUAGUCAAUAUCAUAAAAAAUCAUAAUCUCUAUAUUAACUGUAAAAAUUAUGAUGACAUAGGAGACGGCCACCAAUAUGCGUAUUUAUACGGGUACGCUACGCUUAGUAUAAUAUCUAUUGAUUAAAGUAAUAAAUUAUAACACCUAAGAAAAGAAAAGUCAGGUAUUUUAUAAAAAAAAUGCCUGUAUUGUAGAGGGUACAAACUAAUUAUUUUACUGCCAUGGUACAGCACUCUUAAGGGUCCUGCUUAAAAAUCGCUCUCAACACUUUUUUUAAAGUUAACAAUUAAACAAUUCUUAACGACCACCUCAAUUGGUUUCAAUUUUAGUACUAUGGAGUGACGGUGGACGAAUUGAAUUUUCAAACUUGGUUUGGUGACAAGACUGUUUGGUAGGGAUGGACACAUGUUUGAAGUACUUGCUCCUAAAAAACUCUUACAACAUCUAUGUAAACUAAAUCAUAAAAAAUAUAACACACAGAUUUUGGGCUGCACUAUUGUGUACUAUUUGUUGAUGAUAUUUGUACACCUAAUACUCAUAUAUACUACUCGUUACUCAUAGUAUUUAUAUAUUUUUUAUCGAGUACAAUUUAGUUAAUUUUAUAUUCAAAACGAAUUGUUCAGUAGACACCAAACAACAUAUUCACUCGUCAAAUUUGUCUAGAGGCGGGUGCCACGGAAUAAUGCUAUCAUCAGGCCACUGUAAUACUUUCGUGUUUCUAAAACUCCAAAUCUAAAAGCCUUCUUGUUUGUUUUACGCGAACGCAUUUUUGAUACUAUAUCGCUCAUUAGAAAUAAAUAGACAGAAAAAUUUUAAAUAGAAAUUAUACAACAAUUGACAUAUUUGCACAACCGAACGAGCAGUUAUUCACAAUAAUUUUUAAUUAUGGAACUUAUAAUUUGUACGAGCACCUUACAGACGUCACUUGUGUAGGUAUAUCCCGUUUUACAAUAUAAUUGGAGAUUACAUCUAAAUCUGUAUAAUAUUAUAAUGUCAGCUUAGUAUAGCCUCGUGAAAUUGCAGUGAUACUAUCAUCACAUUAUAUUAUAAUCACCGGCUUUGGGGAGAUUAAAUAAUAUGUUAUUUCCGAUUAUAUUUGCGUACAUAUUAUGAAUAUAUUAUGUAUAAGUUUAUUAAGUAUCAUAAAAAAAAAAAAAAACAAACAACGUACAUUAAAUACCUACAAUAAAUUAAACGAUAAUGCUCAAUAAAUAGGCAUCAUAUUUUAUAUUCGUCGACACGAUGAUAUUUAACAUUUAUAAAGUCUUUAAAUAAAUUUGUAGUAGUUUGAUUGUUUUCUUUUAAUAUUUCAUCGCGUUUAUACUAAAAAAUGAAUAAAAAAAUACAAUAUUUUCGACGGUUUUGAAUUAAACUGAAGCGUUUUUCAUUGUUUUUAAUCUCUAUAUCAAAAUCAAAGACCUCUCGAAAAAAUAAAAAAAAUAUACCAGUGGAAUAUAAUUCAAUACGUUUACUCGAUAAAUAAACUAUCACGGUAUAUUUUUUUUCGGUUCAAUAAAAAAAAAAAAAAUGUUUACAAUAAACACAAAAUGUUUCAUCGUGUGAAACGAAUU